rnacentral:rRNA from 1 species
GGGUGAGUAACACGUGAGCAACCUGCCCCUGACUCUGGGAUAAGCGCUGGAAACGGUGUCUAAUACUGGAUAUGUCCCAUCACCGCAUGGUGUGUGGGUGGAAAGAUUUUUCGGUUGGGGAUGGGCUCGCGGCCUAUCAGCUUGUUGGUGAGGUAAUGGCUCACCAAGGCGUCGACGGGUAGCCGGCCUGAGAGGGUGACCGGCCACACUGGGACUGAGACACGGCCCAGACUCCUACGGGAGGCAGCAGUGGGGAAUAUUGCACAAUGGGCGGAAGCCUGAUGCAGCAACGCCGCGUGAGGGAUGACGGCCUUCGGGUUGUAAACCUCUUUUAGCAGGGAAGAAGCGAGAGUGACGGUACCUGCAGAAAAAGCACCGGCUAACUACGUGCCAGCAGCCGCGGUAAUACGUAGGGUGCAAGCGUUAUCCGGAAUUAUUGGGCGUAAAGAGCUCGUAGGCGGUCUGUCGCGUCUGCUGUGAAAUUCCGAGGCUCAACCUCGGGCUUGCAGUGGGUACGGGCAGACUAGAGUGCGGUAGGGGAGAUUGGAAUUCCUGGUGUAGCGGUGGAAUGCGCAGAUAUCAGGAGGAACACCGAUGGCGAAGGCAGAUCUCUGGGCCGUAACUGACGCUGAGGAGCGAAAGGGUGGGGAGCAAACAGGCUUAGAUACCCUGGUAGUCCACCCCGUAAACGUUGGGAACUAGUUGUGGGGUCCUUUCCACGGAUUCCGUGACGCAGCUAACGCAUUAAGUUCCCCGCCUGGGGAGUACGGCCGCAAGGCUAAAACUCAAAGGAAUUGACGGGGACCCGCACAAGCGGCGGAGCAUGCGGAUUAAUUCGAUGCAACGCGAAGAACCUUACCAAGGCUUGACAUACACGAGAACGGGCCAGAAAUGGUCAACUCUUUGGACACUCGUGAACAGGUGGUGCAUGGUUGUCGUCAGCUCGUGUCGUGAGAUGUUGGGUUAAGUCCCGCAACGAGCGCAACCCUCGUUCUAUGUUGCCAGCACGUAAUGGUGGGAACUCAUGGGAUACUGCCGGGGUCAACUCGGAGGAAGGUGGGGAUGACGUCAAAUCAUCAUGCCCCUUAUGUCUUGGGCUUCACGCAUGCUACAAUGGCCGGUACAAUGGGCUGCGAUACCGUAAGGUGGAGCGAAUCCCAAAAAGCCGGUCCCAGUUCGGAUUGAGGUCUGCAACUCGACCUCAUGAAGUCGGAGUCGCUAGUAAUCGCAGAUCAGCAACGCUGCGGUGAAUACGUUCCCGGGUCUUGUACACACCGCCCGUCA